GCAGGUGCCCUCCACCACGCCCAGCUAAUUUUUGUAUUUUUGGUGGAGACGGGGUUUUGCUGUGUUGGCCGGGCUGGUCUCCAGCUCCUAACCGCGAGUGAUCCGCCAGCCUCGGCCUCCCGAGGUGCCGGGAUUGCAGACGGAGUCUCGUUCACUCGGUGGCCAAUGGUGCCCAGGCUGGAGUGCAGUGGCGUGAUCUCGGCUCGCUACAACCUCUACCUCCCAGCCGCCUGCCUUGGCCUCCCAAAGUGCUGAGAUUGCAGCCUCUGCCCGGCCGCCACCCCGUCUGGGAAGUGAGGAGCGUCUCUGCCUGGCCGCCCAUCGUCUGGGAUGUGAGGAGCCCCUCUGCCUGGCUGCCCAGUCUGGAAAUUGAGGAGCGUCUCUGCCCGGCCGCCAUCCCAUCUAGGAAGUGAGGAGCGCCUCUUCCCGGCCGCCAUCCCAUCUAGGAAGUGAGGAGCGUCUCUGCCCGGCCGCCCAUCGUCUGAGAUGUGGGGAGCGCCUCUGCCCCGCCACCCGGUCUGGGAUGUGAGGAGCGCCUCUGCCUGGCCGCGACCCCGUCUGGGAGGUGAGGAGCGUCUCUGCCCGGCCGCCCCAUCUGAGAAGUGAGGAGCCCCUCCACCCCGAAGCCGCCCCAUCUGAGAAGUGAGAAGCCCCUCCGCCCGGCAGCCACCCCGUCUGGGAAGUGAGGAGCGUCUCCGCCCGACAGCCGCCCUGUCCGGGAGGGAGGUGGGGGGGUCAGCCCCCCGCCCGGCCAGCCGCCCCGUCCGGGAGGUGAGGGGCGCCUCUGCCCGGCCGCCCCUACUGGGAAGUGAGGAGCUCCUCUGCCCGGCCAGCCGCCCCGUCCGGGAGGGAGGUGAGGGGGUGGUCAGCCCCCCGCCCGGCCAGCUGCCCCGUCCGGGAGGUGAGGGGCGCCUCUGCCCGGGCGCCUCUGCCCGGCCGCCCCUACUGGGAAGUGAGGAGCCCCUCUGCCCGGCCACCACCCCGUCUGGGAGGUGUGCCCAGCGGCUCAUUGAGAACGGGCCAUGAUGACAGUGGCAGUUUUGUGGAAUAGAAAGGGGGGAAAGGUGGGGAAAAGACUGAGAAAUCGGAUGGUUGCCGUGUCUGUGUAGAAAGAAGUAGACAUGGAAGACUUUUCAUUUUGUUCUGUACUAAGAAAAAUUCUUCUGCCUUGGGAUCCUGUUGAUCUGUGACCUUACCCCCAACCCUGUGCUCUCUGAAACAUGUGCUGUGUCCACUCAGGGUUAAAUGGAUUAAGGGCGGUGCAAGAUGUGCUUUGUUAAACAGAUGCUUGAAGGCAGCAUGCUCGUUAAGAGUCAUCACCACUCCCUAAUCUCAAGUACCCAGGGACACAAACACUGCAGAAGGCCUCAGGGUCCUCUGCCUAGGAAAACCAGAGACCUUUGUUCACUUGUUUAUCUGCUGACCUUCCCUCCACUAUUGUCCUAUGACCCUGCCAAAUCCCCCUCUUCGAGAAACACCCAAGAAUGAUCAAUAAAUAAAUAAAUAAAUAAAUA
rnacentral:lncRNA from 1 species